UAGAUGUUUUUCUCAAAACAAAUGACAAGUGUACUGUGUGUAUUAGUAUUAUUAAAAUAAAUAGUAUAAGUUGUUGACCAAAUUAAUUCUAUAUGAAAACUUUUUAGCAAAACUAAACUAUGUAUUCCGUGAUAUGAAGCUGAUAGUGUUUAUUGUGUGGAACUUCAAGGACGAUUUGGCAAUACAGUUUUGUGUAUCUAAAGAGUUGCCUACAUACAUUUUUAACAUUCCUUUGGAGUUUGCUGUUUUGUUAGCAGUGAGUAAUAAACACAAAAGCGUUGUAUACAUAUAUUUGCAUGCUGAAUUUGGCCAAUAUACGUUUAUGAAUAACAAAAUAAUGAUCAUACCCUUAACUGAUGAGUCAAAGCAGAUGUCUAUCGUUUCUGUACCCUCAAAGUGGAGCCGUACAGACACUGAACUAGGAACGAAAGUCAAGAGGAAGCAGCAAAAAAUAUCAUGUAAUCAAUAAACUACUUAAAUCUACUAUUAUUGUUAAAAGAACAAUAACUUUUUGCCUAAAUACGUUGUAGUUGACAAAUUGGCACCCAUACAUCUACCGUUGAUUUUAUGUUAAUGCAUUAUGAUUUCAUAAUAAAAAUAUUUUAUGUAAAUUUGUAUAUAUGUACAUAUAUAUGUUUUUUAUGAUAGAUUAAAAUCCAAUAACAACUACCAUAUCAUUGCAUGAGGCUCGGACGAAUUUUCGGGAACAUAUAGAAGUUCUCUAAAAUACAAGUCAGAAAAACUAAAUAAAUUUACAAUGCCAAUGCCAGCAUUUUGUGGCCAAGUGAAACGCAAAACGAAGAACUACAUACAUAGGUAUAUAUCGUUAUAUAUUCGUGAGCAAACAAAAUUAAAAAAAAAGUGCAAUACUAAAAACCAUGUGAACAAAAUAUCACACGUAAUUUUUCAUGUCCACCUCUUUUACUAAAUUUCUUCUGCGUUUUUUCAUAAAUCAUUUCCAUAGGCGAUUCUCUAUGAUAAAUUGGGCUGAACAACAAUUAUCACUCAUCGGGUUAGCGAAGAUUUCUGUUCUUACCUUUUAAAAUCUCUCAUAAGACGUCUGCGUGCGGGUGUUGACAUUUUCCUUUUAUUAUUAUAGCGCUUUUACGCUUUUCAACAAUGAAAUUAACAAUUUUUACAAAUUUUAACUCGACAGCGAAAUUUUUUCCUUAUUACACGAACACAACUAGAAAUCGUUUCGUUUUACUUCUUUCUGCAAU